rnacentral:rRNA from 1 species
AUUGAACGCUGGCGGAAUGCUUUACACAUGCAAGUCGAACGGCAGCACGGACUUCGGUCUGGUGGCGAGUGGCGAACGGGUGAGUAACAUAUCGGAACGUAUCCAAUAAUGGGGGAUAACGAGUCGAAAGAUUCGCUAAUACCGCAUACGCCCUACGGGGGAAAGCUGGGGACCUUCGGGCCUGGCGUUAAUGGAGCGGCCGAUAUCUGAUUAGCUAGUUGGUGAGGUAAAGGCUCACCAAGGCGACGAUCAGUAGCUGGUCUGAGAGGACGACCAGCCACACUGGAACUGAGACACGGUCCAGACUCCUACGGGAGGCAGCAGUGGGGAAUUUUGGACAAUGGGCGCAAGCCUGAUCCAGCCAUUCCGCGUGAGUGAAGAAGGCCUUCGGGUUGUAAAGCUCUUUCGCAAGGGAAGAAAACUUAGCCACAAACAUUGGUUGAGGUUGACGGUACCUUGAUAAGAGGCACCGGCUAACUACGUGCCAGCCGCCGCCGUAA